GUAACAAGGUUUCCGUAGGUGAACCUGCGGAAGGAUCAUUGUCGAGACCGAAAUAUAUCGAGCGAUUCGGAGAACCUGUAAACGGGCAACGGCACUCGCCGUUGCGUGACGUCCGUCCCGUCGCCGGGGCCUCAACGGGGCCACGACGUGGGGCGGAUAAAACUCAAACCGGCGCAGCUACGCGCCAAGGGAAUACAAAUAGACACGAGCCCGCAUCGGGUUCGAUGGCGUGGAGUGCUGUCGCACACCACACGAAUCAAAACGACUCUCGGCAAUGGAUAUCUCGGCUCUCGCAUCGAUGAAGAGCGCAGCGAAAUGCGAUACGUGGUGCGAAUUGCAGAAUCCCGCGAACCAUCGAGAAUUUGAACGCAAGUUGCGCCCGAGGCCAUCCGGCCAAGGGCACGUCCGCCUGGGCGUCAAGCGUUGCGUCGCUCCGUGCCAGCUCCAUUCCACCUGAUGGGUGUGCAUGCGGGAGGGUCGGAUGUGCAGAGUGGCUCGUCGUGCCCGCGGGCGCGGCGGGCUGAAGUGCGGGUGAUCUUCUCGUUGGCCACGAGCAACAAGGGGUGGAUGAAAAUUGUGCCUGUGUUGUAUCGUGUCGGCCUGAGAACAGAUCGUACCCUGCGGAUGAUCCCAGCCCAAGCGUCGUUCCGUGGACGGCGGCUUGGAAUGCGACCCCAGGAUGGGCGAGGCCACCCGCUGAGUUUAAGCAUAUC
rnacentral:rRNA from 1 species